CACAGCCUCCCAAAGUGCUGGGAUUACAGGCAAGAGCCACUGCACCUGCCCUCAUUAAUUUCCUUUAUUGUUUUUGUUUUUGUUUUUUGAGAUGGAGUCUUGCUCUGUCGCCCAGGCUGGAAUGCAGUGGCACAAUCGCGGCUCACUGCAACCUCCACCUCCCAGGUUCAAGCAAUUCUCCUGCCUCAGCCUCCUGAGUAGCUGGGACUACAGGCAUGCACCACCACGCUCAGCUAAUUUUUGUAUUUUUAGUAAAGACAAGGUUUCACCAUGUUGGCCAGGCUGGUCUUGAACACCUGACCUCAUGAUCUGCCCGCCUCAGCCUCCCAACGUGCUGGGAUUACAGGCGUGAGCCACCGUCCUCAGCUUCUUUAUUGUUUUUAAAGUCUCUACACAACUUGGAAUCACCUGAGGAGUUUUUUUAAAUUCUGAUCCUGGAUCCCAUCCCCAGAGAUGAUGACUGAAGUGGUAUGGGAUACAGCCUGGGUGUGGGGAUUUUUAAAAAUCUCCUCAGGUGGCUCUAAGCUACAGAAUUUGAAAAUCACUGCUCUACAGACAAUAUAUUCCUCCACCCUGCAAGUCAUUAGACCUAAACCUGGGCCCCAGGGACCCUUGGCCACAGGUUCAGUUAAGAGGCAAGGACCGGGCUGGGCGCAGUGGCUCAUGCCUGUUAUCCUAGCAUUUUGGGAGGCCGAGGAGGGCGGAUCACGAGGUCAGGAG
rnacentral:lncRNA from 10 species